rnacentral:rRNA from 1 species
UACCAGCACCCCGAAUGGUCGGGACGUUUAUUGGGCCUAAAGCAUCCGUAGCCGGUUCUACAAGUCUUCCGUUAAAUCCACCUGCUUAACAGAUGGGCUGCGGAAGAUACUAUAGAGCUAGGAGGCGGGAGAGGCAAGCGGUACUCGAUGGGUAGGGGUAAAAUCCGUUGAUCCAUUGAAGACCACCAGUGGCGAAGGCGGCUUGCCAGAACGCGCUCGACGGUGAGGGAUGAAAGCUGGGGGAGCAAACCGG